GUUGUAUAUACCUGAAAAACAAAAACCGUGGAUUCACUGAAUUUGUAUUUGGUUUCUCUUUUUAGGGUAGUGGCCGUUCUGAAGAACUGAAGCCAUCAUGCCCUGAGAGGAAAGAACAUAUGGACUCUGAUGAUGGAAAGACGGUACAUGAAUCUGUCAGUGCAUUUCAUUCAGAUGAAAAUUUAGAUAUUUUUGUGACAAAAAGUGUCUCAGAAGGUAAUGUGGUUGUACCACCAGAACCAAAGAAGAAGGAAAACAAAGAUGAUUUUCAAGAGCCUGAAUUUGGGCACAAAAGCAAAAUGAAGACUAAAACUUCCAAAAGACAUGUUGGUAAGUAGUUUAGUUUAAAAUUAAUUUCAAAGUAUAUUUUCUAAAAUAAUAUAAAGAAUGUUGAAAAUCAUUGAAAGAUAUGCACUAAUAUGAAGAGACUACAAUAUUGUCAUUGGAAAGAACACUGAAAAAGAAAUUGAACCCUUUCUAUAACCAUAAAGAAUGGAGGAAAAGUAUAUUCUUCCUGUGAUGGAGAUAAAAAUGGAGCAACAGUUCCUGAGCCUGUGAUGGAGGUGUUAUGUUCUCUCUAGGUGAGAAGUAUUUUUCUGCAAGCAAACCAGGAGUGUUCAGGUUAACAUUGUUCCCUGGGGUGGCAGGUGGGGGUUUGGUGGCCAGGGUGCAGAUGGUGACGUUCCAGUAUGGGACCUUUGCUUUGGGUCACAGAUGUCCAUGAUUUUGAGGGAAAAAAAGUACGAGAACAUGGAGAAUAAUUAUACCUAGGGAAAUGGCCAAUGAGAAAAAUAGGAGAAAUAAUGUUAGAGAGAUGGGAAACAUCUGGAAAGGUACUUAGAGAAUUAGGAAUAGGAGAAUGAUGGCAAAAUAAUAUGACAGGCAGAAAAGAAGAAAUAGGAAGAGGGAGCAAUCAAGUGCCAAAUUUUUUGGAAUAUCAAGGAAAGAUAAAAACUACCUAAGUGAGGUAACUACCGAUAAAAUAAACUAUCAAUCAAUAAACAUUUAUUAAGCACCUGUUAUUUACUAGGUGUUGUGCUGAGCAAUAAGAAUGCAAGGAAAGGUAAAGAGAAUCCUUUUCUCUCAAAAACAAAACAAAAACAAAAACA